AUGAAGAACGUAGCGAAAUGCGAUACGUAGUGUGAAUUGCAGAAAUACGUGAACCAUCGAAUCUUUGAACGCAUAUUGCGCUCGAGGCUUCGGCCAAGAGCAUGUCUGCCUCAGCGUCGGGUUAAUACUCGCAUACCUCGAAAUCGGGGCAAUGCGGACCUGGCUGUCCCAGUUGGUUUCGACUAUCUGGGUCGGCUGAAGAGUAGAGGUUGAUGCAAUGGACCCGUCAAGGGCCUCGGCUUUGGUAGUGCAACUAGUUUGCUCGAUGCUAUUAGCUGAUGGCCUGGGACCGUGCUGUCAACCCAAACCAGGAAAAUAUAUUAACCAUUUUCUCGACCUGAGCUCAGGCAAGAACACCCGCUGAACUUAAGCAUAUCAAUAAGCGGAGGA
rnacentral:misc_RNA from 1 species